rnacentral:tRNA from 1 species
UGUUCAGUUGGUUUGGCUUAUUUAAAAUUCAGCGGCCUGUCACGCCGGGGGGCGCGGGUUCGAGUCCCGUCCACUGUGCCA